UCAGAGCUCAGGCCCUGGGGUUCUGACUGUUCCUCCGGGUGACACCGGGCUGAGUCACUUCCUGCUGUGAAUGGAACUGUUCCCCAAAGAUAUGUUGGUGUCCUGGCCCCCAGUGCCUCAGAAUGUGGCCUAAUUUGGAAAUAGAGUUGUGGGGAGGGGGGCAGAGAGCAGAGGUCACGCUGGAGCAGGGUGGACCCUUAAUCCCAUCUGUCCUUCCCAAAGAGAAGGGACACUUGGGGAGAGGGCCAGUGACAACAGAGGCCAAGACUGGAGCUAUGCGUUGCAAGCCAAGGAGAGCCCCCACGCUGGAUGUAAGAGAACGAAUGGCAAGAGACAGAUCCUCAAAACAGCCUUUGAAACGGCGUGACCCUGCCAACACCUCGAUUUUGUGGGCCUUCCAGCCCCCAGAACUGUGAGAGUGUCCAUUUCCACCCAGUGAGUGAUCCUUUGUGAUGGGCAGCCCAGGAAACUAACACCCUUCCCCAUCUCUCAACCUCAUGUUCCGAAAUCUGGGAAAUGGGCUAAUAACAUCCAUCUUGCUCAGAGGAUUAAUGGACACCUGUUAGGCUUCUUGCGAAAGGCCGGCGGAGAUUCUCACCAUCGCUCUAGGUCGGCAUUUUGCAGAUGUUCAGAGUUCAUGGGAUGCUAUUUCCUUGCAUGAAGAGGCUCCUAGAAGGCAGCAAGGGGGAUGGAUGCUGGAGCCUAGAGAAUAAGAAAGAAUGGGAUCUGGGGCAGGAGCAGGGCAGAGGCACUCCCCGGGUUGGUCUGUGUGGCCUGAUGCUCAGAGGGAGUCUGAGCAGGGGGACCCCCUGGUCCCACGGGGCCUUCCUCACGCAUGGCCUGUCCCCUUCAGUUUGUUAGCUUCACUUGCUCUGACUUCUCCCUCCGUUUGGGCUGAACUUGACUUUAAGAGAGAGAGGCAAGGGUGCUGCCUGGGGGUGGUGGUGGGAUGCUGCCUGCAGGGUCCGUGGGUCUCGGAGAAUGAGGUGGUCCUGGAACCUGCAGGCAGCGCUCUAAGGGGUUGGCGAGACCCAUGGCUUCUCACCCAAUAUUCUCGGCAGGGGCCAAAGGUAUGGUUGCUCCCCAAACGCACCGUGUGGUCCCCUCAUAUCAGAACCUAGCCGUUUGUACACACCCCAUAAUCCUUUCAAUCUCAGUCCUUUCCCACCACUCUUUCCUGUCAACCUCUUCUAAGUGCUUGGGAGGAGAAAGGGUGACCCCUGCACCCCCCACCCCCGCCUUCUCUGGGGGCCCAACCACUACUCCAGGGAUCCUGCGAGGGGUGGGGGAAACCUCUGCUUUUCCAUUUUAUUUUAUUUUAUUUAUUUAUUUAUUUUUUUGUCUUUUGUCUUUUGUCUUUUUGUUGUUGUUGUUGUUGCUAUUUCUUUGGGCCGCUUCCGCGGCAUAUGGAGGUUCCCAGGCUAGGGGUUGAAUCGGAGCUGUAGCCACCGGCCUACGCCAGAGCCACAGCAACGCGGGAUCCGAGCCGUGUCUGCAACCUACACCACAGCUCACGGCAACGCCGGAUCGUUAACCCACUGAGCAAGGGGCAGGGACCGAACCCGCAACCUCAUGGUUCACUAGUCGGAUUCGUUAACCACUGCGCCACGACGGGAACUCCCCCAUUUUAUUUUAUUUUUAAAGUUGUUUUUUUUUUAAAGUUAUUUCCACAUUUAACAAAUAAUGUAUUUUUUAAUUUUAUGGCUGCACCUGUGGCAUAUGGAAAUUCUCUGGGCCAGGGGCUGAACCUGAGGCACAGCUGCGACCGGUGGCAACACGGGAUCCUUUUUUUAAAAAUUUAUUAUUUUUAUUUAUUUGUUUGUUUUAUUUAU
rnacentral:lncRNA from 1 species